rnacentral:rRNA from 1 species
AGGUAACGUCAAGACCCACGGGUAUUAACCAUAGGCUUUUCUUCUCUACUGAAAGUGCUUUACAACCCGCAGGCCUUCUUCACACACGCGGCAUUGCUGGAUCAGGGUUGCCCCCAUUGUCCAAUAUUCCCCA